GAGGCUGCCGUGGUCAUGGGUUUGGUCCCACAGCCUCUGAACCUCUAGCGUCUCUCACUUAAACCUGUAUGUACUUGUUUAACCUCUGUCUCCCUCUCUAAACUGAGAACGUCAUGAAGGCAGAGACCAUGUCAUUAUCCCCAGCACUCAACACGGAACCUGGCACACAGCAGGCAGCUGGUGGUUGACAGCAAGGAGGCCCAGAGCCAAGAUGGGAGAUCCCCCACCUGCUCACAAAGGCUGGAUGCUAGCUUGACAGAUCUUCACACCGCACCGUUUACGUCUACCCAGGACGGCUACGAAGCGUCGUCUUGCAGUCAGCGCGGCCGAGAUGGUGCCCUUGGGUCCUCUCCCCGAGACUGCCCCCUGCCCCCUCCCCGAUACCUCUCCGCUUCAGCACUUUGCUACUACCUCCCCAUCCACCCAGCUACUCGAGCCAACACCUGGGAUCGCCACGACUCCACUUCCUUCUUCCCUCCACCUUCAAAACAUCGCCCCGAUAGAGAGA